rnacentral:rRNA from 1 species
GACGAACGCUGGCGGCGUGCCUAAUACAUGCAAGUAGAACGCACAGUUUAUACCUUAGCUUGCUACACCAUAGACUGUGAGUUGCGAACGGGUGAGUAACGCGUAAGUAACCUGCCUGGUAGCGGUGGAUAACUAUUGGAAACAAUACCUAAUACCGCAUAAUACUGAUUAUUUCAUGAUAAUUGACUGAUAGAUUCUAACGCAUCACUACCACAUGGACCUGCGUUGUAUUAGCUAGUAGGUGAGGUAACGGCUCACCUAGGCGACGAUACAUAGCCGACCUGAGAGGGUGAUCGGCCACACUGGGACUGAGACACGGCCCAGACUCCUACGGGAGGCAGCAGUAGGGAAUCUUCGGCAAUGGACGAAAGUCUGACCGAGCAACGCCGCGUGAGUGAAGAAGGUUUUCGGAUCGUAAAGCUCUGUUGUAAGAGAAGAACGGGUGUGAGAGUGGAAAGUUCACACUGUGACGGUAUCUUACCAGAAAGGGACGGCUAACUACGUG